AGUUGCCAGAAACGGCAAAGGAGGAAACCCACCGAGAGAAGAACGAAAUCCAUAAGCAAAAGAGGAAAAGGAAAUCGAACCAUUUCGGAUCCAAAUCGCUUUUCCCGCCCCGGAACGCCCGGCUCGCGAGAUCUAUCGAGCUCCGGCGAUCCUCGUCGCCGGCGACCGGGAAUCGCACGAUCGGCUCGGAUGCUGUCGAUUUCGCGCUCGUCAUCUGCAUUUGCGCGAGUCGGCCGGGCAAAAGAAGCUCGACUCCCACGCGCUCGGCGAUUUGAGCUAAGAAUCGAGGUGCGCGGAGGCCGGAAACGGUGAAUCCCAAGGGCUGACGCCCGUUGCUGAAUUCUGAUGGGGGACGCGACGGCUUGCGAGCGGGAUUCGGCAGGUUAGGGACAAUGGCUGCGAACGGAGACGGCGAUGAGCUAGCCGUUAGCCGAACGGAGGAGGAGUUGCGAUUUGCUGAAACCGCGAGGGAGAAAGAGAUAGGUUCGGUGUCGUGAUUGGGGGAGAGGGUUUGCGAAAAUGGGUCUGGAUAAGCACGGUGAUGAGAUGUUUAUCGAGAGAAGGGGCGUGAUUGGGGCGUUCCUGCGUUCGUUGAGGCGAGGCAGGGAUGGGCUUCGAGCCGCCCGUCGAGGGAGGAGGACUUACAAGCAGAGAUUCUCGCGCUUGGCGUUCCUGCUGGCCGCUAUCUUCCUGUUUUGCUUGGUGGCUUUCGGCCUGAACAUGUUCCUGCACGGAAAGAUGGAAGGCAGAACUUCAUCUGCUUAUGAAGUAAAAGUAGCAGACGCAGUAAAAGAAGCAGACGCGGUAAAAGAAGCAGACGCAGUAAAAGAAGCAAACAUAGGGUCUGAUGUUGGAAAAAAACCAACAACCAAGCAUCGCAAGCGGCAUCUUCCUUGUGAAAUAACUUUAUCAGACUCAGUCGACAAUAUAGUUGAACCCAGCAGUUUCAUGAAUUUCACGCAGUUUUCACUGCAUUACAUUGAAAAGGAGGAAAAUAGUUUUUCCAUCCCUAGAUUUGGCGGACAUCAGACCCUUGGUGAAAGAGAGACAUCCUUUCAUGCAAGAAGCCAAAAACUUCAUUGUGGUUUUGUCAAGGGGCCAGCAAGAUUCCCGAGCACUGGAUUUGAUUUGGAUGAAAAGGACAAGAUAUAUAUGAAUACAUGUAAAGUUGUAGUGUCUUCUUGCAUUUUUGGAAGUUCUGAUUUUCUGAGGCGGCCAACAAGCAAGCGGAUCACUGAGUAUUCCAAGAAAAAUGUCUGCUUUGUUAUGUUUGUGGAUAAGGAGACACUAUCAACUCUGUCAUCAGAAGGUAAUAUUCCUGAUGAUAGAGGUCAUAUUGGGCUAUGGAAAAUAAUUGUCGUCAAGAACUUACCAUACAAAGACAUGCGUCGAACUGGAAAAGUGCCCAAACUCCUUCCUCAUCGGCUUUUCCCUUCUUCCAGGUAUUCGAUAUGGCUUGACAGCAAAAUGCGUCUGAAUACUGAUCCAAUGCUUAUCAUCGAGUACUUUUUGUGGCGGACAAAGUCAGAGUAUGCCAUUUCAAACCACUAUGAUCGUCACUGUGUCUGGGAGGAGGUAUUCCAAAACAAACGCCUAAACAAGUACAAUCACACAGCCAUUGAUGAGCAGUUUCUGUUUUACCAGUCUGAUGGCCUCACCAAGUUUGAUCCCACUGACCCAAAUACUCCUCUUCCUAGUUAUGUGCCUGAAGGCUCCUUCAUUGUGCGGGCCCAUACACCAAUGUCAAACUUAUUUUCAUGUCUUUGGUUCAAUGAGGUCGAUCGAUUCACGUCACGUGAUCAACUAAGCUUUGCAUACACUUACCUCAAAUUGAGAAGAUUAAAUCCCGACAGACAGUUCUAUUUACGUAUGUUCAAGGAUUGUGAGCGCAGAGCGAUAGUAAAGCUAUUCCAUCACAGGGAGCUUCCUGUUCCAGCAUCACCUUGAGUUUCCCUGGUGUUUCUACCUGGUAAGGUUCCACCAAAUGAUAUCCGGCUCAUCGCCCUAUUUUGAAUUUGUGGUUGGAUGAAGAUAAACUCAUCAUUCUAGAGUGAAUCAUCAAUUGGGAAUGGAUUUCAAAGUCAAUAUGUUGGUUCACCAAGGGAUCUCCAAAUUCUUGUCUGGUGGUGAUGCUUGAACAGUUUCUGCAGGAAAUUAGAUCCUUGUAGUCAGAUCUACGUGAAGUGCUCUCGGUUGAUCUUCAGACAGGAGGAAAUAAGUGGACCUCGUUCACUUGCUCAGCUCAAAUGUAUUGAUUGCUGUAUGUAAGCUGUUGAGAGUGAGCAAGGCUAGGUGACUCGAGAGUGAAUCUCCCGUUCAAGGAGGGUUUAGUUAUGAACCAUCAUAAGACUCGGUUCGCUGAUUAGAUGAAAUGCCUGCACUUUGAAGUGAACAGGAUGACUUUUUACUUUUUCUUCUAUUUACUGGAGAGGGAAAGCUCAUUUUAAUUCAGCUUCUUGUCUCUCCCUCGGCAAGUAGAAGACUAAACUGUCUCGAUAAGGUUGCCUUUCUAUUGUCGAAUUUUGUCAUUCUUUUUUGGUGUUAAGGCAGAGAGACAAGGUUUGUGCCUAUAUUCUGUGGAGCAGUGAACUUCAGCCGGCAUAUGAAAUUUUAUCCUUUAGUUUUGA